rnacentral:rRNA from 1 species
AUCCUGCCGGACCUGACUGCUAUCGGAUUGAUACUAAGCCAUGCGAGUCAUUGUAGUAAUACAAGGCAGACGGCUCAGUAACGCGUAGUCAACCUAACCUAUGGACGGGGAUAACCUCGGGAAACUGAGAAUAAUACCCGAUAGAACAUUAUGCCUGGAAUGGUUUAUGUUUCAAAUAAUUUAUUGCCGUAGGAUGGGACUGCGGCCUAUCAGUUUGUUGGUGAGGUAAUGGCCCACCAAGACUAUUACAGGUACGGGCUCUGAGAGGAGUAGCCCGGAGAUGGGUACUGAGACACGGACCCAGGCCCUAUGGGGCGCAGCAGGCGAGAAAACUUUGCAAUGUGCGGAAGCACGACAAGGUUAAUCCGAGUGGUUUCUGCUAAAGGAACCUUUUGCCAGUCCUAGAAACACUGGUGAAUAAGGGGUGGGCAAGUUCUGGUGUCAGCCGCCGCGGUAAAACCAGCACCUCAAGUGGUCAGGAUGAUUAUUGGGCCUAAAGCAUCCGUAGCCUGCUUUGUCAGUUUUCGGUUAAAUCCAUUCGCUCAACGAAUGGGCUGCCGGGAAUACUGCAAAGCUAGGGAGUGGGAGAGGUAGACGGUACUCGGUAGGAAGGGGUAAAAUCCUUUGAUCUAUUGAUGACCACCUGUGGCGAAGGCGGUCUACCAGAACACGUCCGACGGUGA